rnacentral:rRNA from 1 species
CUCAGGAUGAACGCUGGCGGCGUGCCUAAUACAUGCAAGUCGAACGAGUUCUGAUUAUUGAAAGGUGCUUGCAUCUUGAUUUAAUUUUGAACGAGUGGCGGACGGGUGAGUAACACGUGGGUAACCUGCCCUUAAGUGGGGGAUAACAUUUGGAAACAGAUGCUAAUACCGCAUAAAUCCAAAAACCGCAUGGUUCUUGGCUGAAAGAUGGCGUAAGCUAUCGCUUUUGGAUGGACCCGCGGCGUAUUAGCUAGUUGGUGAGGUAACGGCUCACCAAGGCAAUGAUACGUAGCCGAACUGAGAGGUUGAUCGGCCACAUUGGGACUGAGACACGGCCCAAACUCCUACGGGAGGCAGCAGUAGGGAAUCUUCCACAAUGGACGCAAGUCUGAUGGAGCAACGCCGCGUGAGUGAAGAAGGCUUUCGGGUCGUAAAACUCUGUUGUUGGAGAAGAAUGGUCGGCAGAGUAACUGUUGUCGGCGUGACGGUAUCCAACCAGAAAGCCACGGCUAACUACGUGCCAGCAGCCGCGGUAAUACGUAGGUGGCAAGCGUUAUCCGGAUUUAUUGGGCGUAAAGCGAGCGCAGGCGGUUUUUUAAGUCUGAUGUGAAAGCCCUCGGCUUAACCGAGGAAGUGCAUCGGAAACUGGGAAACUUGAGUGCAGAAGAGGACAGUGGAACUCCAUGUGUAGCGGUGAAAUGCGUAGAUAUAUGGAAGAACACCAGUGGCGAAGGGCGGCUGUCUGGUCUGUAACUGACGCUGAGGCUCGAAAGCAUGGGUAGCGAACAGGAUUAGAUACCCUGGUAGUCCAUGCCGUAAACGAUGAAUGCUAGGUGUUGGAGGGUUUCCGCCCUUCAGUGCCGCAGCUAACGCAUUAAGCAUUCCGCCUGGGGAGUACGACCGCAAGGUUGAAACUCAAAGGAAUUGACGGGGGCCCGCACAAGCGGUGGAGCAUGUGGUUUAAUUCGAAGCAACGCGAAGAACCUUACCAGGUCUUGACAUCUUUUGAUCACCUGAGAGAUCAGGUUUCCCCUUCGGGGGCAAAAUGACAGGUGGUGCAUGGUUGUCGUCAGCUCGUGUCGUGAGAUGUUGGGUUAAGUCCCGCAACGAGCGCAACCCUUAUGACUAGUUGCCAGCAUUUAGUUGGGCACUCUAGUAAGACUGCCGGUGACAAACCGGAGGAAGGUGGGGAUGACGUCAAAUCAUCAUGCCCCUUAUGACCUGGGCUACACACGUGCUACAAUGGAUGGUACAACGAGUUGCGAGACCGCGAGGUCAAGCUAAUCUCUUAAAGCCAUUCUCAGUUCGGACUGUAGGCUGCAACUCGCCUACACGAAGUCGGAAUCGCUAGUAAUCGCGGAUCAGCACGCCGCGGUGAAUACGUUCCCGGGCCUUGUACACACCGCCCGUCACACCAUGAGAGUUUGUAACACCCGAAGCCGGUGGCGUAACCCUUUUAGGGAGCGAGCCGUCUAAGGUGGGACAAAUGAU